UCAUAGCUACAUGGAAUCCCACGAAUCCUCCAGGCCAUUUUAUGCAUGAAGAAACAGACUCAGAAUAAAUAAUUUCUGUGGGUGAUACAGACUCCAAGAUCCAGACCAGGGCAAGAACCAGUUCCUCAGAUCCACUGCUACAAGACACGGAAUAAGAGUGGUGAAUUCAUUCAAGAAUUCUAUAUUGAGUAUUUUCUGCUUGGUACUCUAAUAAGGACUGGAGACCCAGUAGAACAAGAUAGAAAUAUCAGGGGAGAUUUCAAGAAGUUUGAGUGAAGCCAAUCUCUACACCAUCUGAGGAUGUCACAGGAGAUCCCAGACCACCCAUCACCGAGUCUCUUUUUUUUUUCCUUCCCAAAUGAAAAGAAAGAGAAAGAAAAGUGAAGAAAUCGAAGCUGGGACUAUCUGAGGGAAGAGCAUUUGGGGCAGAGGGCACAGCAAAUGCCAAGUCCUGGGGAAGGAACCAUCUAGGUGUUUAAAGACCAGUGGGGCUGGAGCAUUGUGAACAAGAGGAAAGCCCUAAGAGAAGAUGUUGAAACCAGAUCACGUAGGACUUUGUAGGCCUUGGAAAGGAGUUUCUAUUGCAAAUGGAACUCCUGGUGGGUUUUAGCCAAGGUGGCAAUAUGAUUUAAGUUUUUAAAACAUCCCUUCAGCUGCUGUGUGAACUGACCACAGUGAUGCAAGGAGGGAGAUCAGGAAACCAGAUCCAGGCCCCAGUGAAGGGCUUGGACCAGAGUGGCAGCAGUGGAGAAGGUAGUAAGCAGCCAGAUUAGGAUAUAUCCUGGAGAUGAAGCCUACAGGACUUGCUGAUGGAUCUGCGAGCACUGGGUUUGCUGAUGGGCUGGAUAUGAGCUGUUGAGGGGAAGGGACCACUCAAGUCUGCAUCCCAGGUUUUUGCUCUGAGCCACUUCCUGCAGCCCCACCUCUGCAGGCUGUCACGUUGCACACGGGCUUCCUGCCUCAGCUGCCUUUGAUGGAAGCCCGGGCCCGGACUGUGGCAGAGACGAUGCUCUGUGUCCACCAAGCCAAUCCAUCAUCCUCCUGGAUACACAGGAUGGCCUCAGUCCCCAGGCCCCUGACAUCUAAGCGGGGCCAUACGUCUCGGUCACUAACUGUGAAGCAGGAGGACUGCCUCCAGCUGCUGGUCUUCUUUCCUCUGAGGGGGAAUGGAAAGCGAAGAGGCAGACACAGCUGUGGCUGGAAGCAGGGCCUGGGGGAGAGCCGGGGUUCAGGUGGCCUCCGGCCAGAAGGCUCUUUUCUCUGUGCACUUCUGCCUGUGGACAAGCCCUUGCUCGGGCCUCCAGACUGCGCCUGUCUUGCUGCACCUCCAUCAAUUAUUCAGUCCUCACAAGUCUGUCUCCUUUCCUAACAUGCUCGAUGCUCUGACAACACAGUUGCGGCAUGUGGGAUCUAGUUCCCUGACCAGGGAUCGAACCCCGGCCCCCUGCAUCGGGAGUGUGCAGUCUUAACCACUGGACCACCAGGGAAGUCCCUCUAACACUGGUUGUUUAGCCUGUCAUCGAUUGUUCAAAUGUGACUCCUGGAGCCGGCAGCUUUAAGGAUCAGGUGGCCAUGAAUGACAGUUCACCGCACGGCCAGCCACCCCGUGCUGCCUUGGUGUGUUUGCACAUCCGCACGUUGCUUCUACCCUGCCAGCUCCUUGCAGCCGUGAAAGUCCUUUUCCUUUAUAAACUACACAGAUGUUUAGAGGAAGCUCUGGGUUAGUUCAGCUGCUCUCUGGGUUCUAUCCCAACUCAGACACGUCCCGUGUUCUAUUACCUAUAGGUUUGGCAUUAUACCGAAGGCAGUUUAGGGGAGGCAUUGUGAGAGGUGACUCCCAGCUUGCCCGUGAUCGAAACCCUGACGAUCAGAGAAGUCCUAGUAACAUGUCCUAAAGUUGAGUCCUAGAAUUUCAUAGAGGGGCAUGCAAAGCCCUGUGCCAGCCCUAAAUGGACCAGAGUUCUAGAUAAAUCCUAAACCAGGACUUCAGGCACAGGGACAAGUCAGGAUUCCAGACACGGGAACUCAGAUCUAAGGAGACCUGGUCUUUGGAACCAAACAGAAAUUCAGGUCAUAGAACUGGUGCCCAAGAGCAACCAGAGUGACCUUCUGCUGAGACCUAAGGGUCAGCUGGGUCCCCUCACAUCUUUCCCUGAUAUGAACGGGCCUGCACACAAGGGGGCAGCUCACCUGUGAAAGGACCACCAGUGGCCCCAGCUGGGAAGAACCAAGCAGGACUUGACUUCCUCCUCCUUCUGGGUCAUCUCACUGCAGUCCAGCCACUGUUCCUUCUCAUUUCUGCACUUAAAACUGAAGACUAACUCAAAAAUAUAUGCACCCCAUGUCUAUUGCAGCAUUAUUUACAAUAGCCAAGAUAUAGAAACAACCUAAGUGUCCAUCAAUGGAUAAGUGGAUAAAGAAAAUGUGGUAUCGGACUUCCCUGGUGGCACAGUGGUUAGGAAUCCGCCUGCCAAUGCAGGGGACACGGGAUCGAGCCCUGGUCCAGGAAGAUCCCCCAUGCCGCGGAGCAACUAAGCCCGUGAGCCACAACUACUGAGCCCACAUGACACAACUACUGAAGCCCACACGCAUAGAGCCCAUGCUCUGCAACAAGAGAAGCCACCGCAAUGAGAAGCCUGCGCACCGCAACCAAGAGUAGCCCCUGCUCGCCGCAACUAGAGAAAGCCUGCAUGCAGCAACGAAGACCCAACGUGGCCUAAAUAAAUAAAUAAAUAAAUAAAUAGAAGAAUGGUACAGAUGAACCAGUUUGCAGGGCAGAAAUAGAGACACAGAUGUAGAGAACAAAUGUAUGGACACCAAGGGGGGAAAGUGGCAGGGGGUGGUGGUGGUGGUGUGAUGAAUUGGGAGAUUGGGAUUGACAUGUGUACACUGAUGUUAUAAAAUUGAUGACUAAUAAGAACCUGCUGUAUAAAAAAUAAAAUAAAAUUUUAAAAAAGACAUAAAAUAUUAAUGAAGUAUUUAACGUAGUUGACAUGGACAUAUACUAGAUUGGUUGAUUUGUGUUUUUUUGUUUUCCCAUGUCUAUUUCAUUCUUAAGUAGUGUGUAAAUAUGUAGCCCAUUUGCAGAGUUCUCUUACAAUAGUAAGAUAGUGAUUGUCAUGAGGCUGCAAUGAAAUGUACCACCACCCCACCCCACCCCUUUGCAAUCUAUAUAAGUGUGUAUCCCUAGAAUGACUAUUGGCAUUGUCAGCUCAACUCUGAAUUGCUUGCCUAGGUGAGGUCUCUGAGAGGCCAGUGUGUCCGCUGAAAGUGGUAGGUUACCAUUUCAGUCACCAAGAUUACAAUUGGUGGUUCAUAUAGGAAAUGAGACCACCAGGAGAUUGACUUCAAGCAGACAGGAGAGGAAAUUACUUUUUCCAGCCCUUAUCCUCUGAGGUUUGAACUUUGAAUUGCUUGCUAGUACUGUGAGAGAAGAAAGGUGACUUCUAUCACGUAAAAGCACGCUUACAGUAUUCCUUCUUGGAACCCAAGCCACAUGGAGAAGCUGUGUGGAGAACAAUCAAGGCCUUCAAUCAACAGCCCCAGCUGAGUUCCCAGCCGACAAGCAGCUCCAACUGCCUGCCCCAGGAGCGAGCCAUCGUGGAUAUUCCAGCCGGGUUGAGCCUUCAGAAGACUGCAGCCCUGCCACAUGGUAUAGAAUUGCACUGUUGGGUCCAGUUAACCCACAUAGAAAUUGUAAGAGGCUUGGGCUUCCCUGGUGGCACAGUGGUUGAGAGUCUGCCUGCCAACGCAGGGGACAUGGGUUCGAGCCCUGGUCUGGGAAGAUCCCACAUGCCGCGGAGCAGCUAGGCAGGCCCGUGAGCCACAAUUACUGAGCCUGCGCGUCUGGAGCCUGUGCUCCGCAACAAGAGAGGCCGCGAUAAUGAGAGGCCCGUGCACCGCGAUGAAGAGUGGCCCCCACUUGCCACAACUAGAGAAAGCCCUCGCACAGAAAUGAAGACCCAACACAGCCAUAAAUAAAUAAAUUAAGAAAGAAAGAAUCCUGGUCAAAAAAGGUGAUGAUUUAAAAAAAAAAGAAAUUGUAAGAG